AGUUUGAUCAUGGCUCAGAACGAACGCUGGCGGCAUGCCUAACACAUGCAAGUCGAACGAGACCUUCGGGUCUAGUGGCGCACGGGUGCGUAACGCGUGGGAAUCUGCCCUGGGGUGCGGAAUAACUCGGAGAAAUCCGUGCUAAUACCGCAUAAUGUCUUCGGACCAAAGAUUUAUCGCCCUGGGAUGAGCCCGCGUAGGAUUAGCUAGUUGGUGGGUAAAGGCCUACCAAGGCGACGAUCCUUAGCUGGUCUGAGAGGAUGAUCAGCCACACUGGGACUGAGACACGGCCCAGACUCCUACGGGAGGCAGCAGUGGGAAUAUUGGACAAUGGGCGAAAGCCUGAUCCAGCAAUGCCGCGUGAGUGAUGAAGGCCCUAGGGUUGUAAAGCUCUUUUACCCGGGAUGAUAAUGACAGUACCGGGAGAAUAAGCUCCGGCUAACUCCGUG
rnacentral:rRNA from 1 species